CGGGGGCGGGUGGGGGAAGAGGGCUUAAUCAGAGAAGGCAUCUUGGCGGAGUUGCGACCUUAAUAUUGUUUUGAAGACCUGGAGAGUGGCGGUCUGGCCAAUGUGGAACGGGGAGGGCGAUCCAGGCCAGGGGGAGGCGGGGAGAAAGGAGCCGGAGAAGCCGGCGCUGUUGGAGCAAAGUGCCACCAGGUGGCGAUAGAGAAGCGCGGAGGCCCAGCAUCAUCUGGAAGGGAAGCAGCGCCGCCUGGUGGCCACAUCCCGGAAGGACCUGGCUCCAAAUCCAGCGUCGCCCACUUCUCUGCGAGGUGACCUUGGAGGGCAGGAUGGGAGACCCAGGAUCUCGGGAUCGGUAAUCCUAUCAUCUCUCCAGAUCAGUUCCACGAUUCUAGAUGAGGAUUCCUGCCGAAACUGGUGGGUUUCUUCAAAAUAUGUGUUUCUGUGGGACCAGUGGCUUCCUCUUGGGGAGAGAACGGGGAAGGGGAGAGAUGCAGAGUCUGCGGUCCAGGAUCAGUUUAAUGGAGUGGACCCAGAUGAUACAAUGCAGGUACAGCAUCAGUGGAAUGAGGAGGACACAUAUGAUACAAUACCGGUAAGGGAAGGAUCUGAGUAUAAGGGUAUGUGGUGAAUUCUUCAGUGCGUGGUGGGUGAAUCUAAGUGCAUGGGUGAGCUGGAAGGGAAAAUAAGGUGUGUGGUGGGGCUAGGGGUGGAUGGGGCGAGAUGAGAGCUUUAGUCAGGAUAGGCUUGUUGGAGAAGAAAGAAUCUUCAUGAGGUUUUGAAAGUUUUGGGAGACUGCUGGUAUGUCCACUAUGUGGGUGAAGGGUGGGAGUUGCA